rnacentral:lncRNA from 1 species
UCCUUCUUUCCAUCCCUCCCUUCUUUGUUCCUCUUCUCUUUUAGUAUUUAAACAUACAAUGCCAUGUUCUAGGCACUGUGCCAAGGGUGGGGUCAAAAAAUCACUCAUCUUUACAUUUACAGUAUUUCUCAAGUUCAUCUUCUAUGCCUGGCAUUGUACCAAGGACCCUGGGCACUAAGGAUGCAGCAGGAAAUGCAGCAGACUUCAUUUCUGCUCUUACAGGGCUUACAUUUGAGUGUUUUCUCUUCAAGAACCUGGACGUUUAGUCUAGGUUGUGUCUUCCGUGAGAAAGGCUGGCGUUGGGUAAGGCUGGAGAGAAACAGAUCUGAAGCCAAUCCCUGAGCCUCCUGGGCCAUACACUGUCCCACUAUUUCAAAAGAAACUCAGUGACGAGAGGGCAGAGGGAGAAUAUGUCCAGCAUCUCAGCCUCAUUGUUUUCCACUUGGCAGCCCCCUCCAGUUCAGGGAUUCAUUUGAAGAAGCCCACAGGGACGGGUGACACUGAGGAAACAAAACCCAGGCCCCCCGGCCUCCGACUGAGCCGUGCAGAGCAUGCUGGGAGAUCACCUCCACCUGAGGAGCACAAAAGACCCCAGGAGUGGAGGAAGCUGGCCUGAGGCCAACUGGAUGUAGCAGACUUGCUGAGCCCAAGGAGGGAGGUCUGGUGAUGGAGCCUCGAGUACAUAUCCUUCCAAUCCUAAGGCAAUGCGAAAUCCACAGGACAGAAGAAACCUGGUUCUGGAAUCCCCUCUUGGAAGUGAGCUGCCUGCUGAUUAAUAAUACUUGUUGUUUUGGAUUUUAUGUAAGCUCAAAAUAUACUUUAUGGGUGUGACCCAAUGAGAUUUGAGGAUUUGUUUAUUACAGAAACUAGCAUUGCCCUAACUAAUAUAUAUCCAGUCACAUUUCUUUCCACUCUAAUACACAAAAAUCUCUAUGCUGCUCAGAAGAGUUUCCAUCUCCCCCACUACUGCUUAUAUGUCUUCUGCCUAGAAUAUCUUCAAUUGCUUUCUUCCUAUUUUAAACUAUUCAUCUUUAAGGCCCAAGCUAAGUGCCAUCUCUUUGUUUGUAUAUUUGUUUUA